GGAGAGGGUGGACCCCGCGUCGCUCUCGGCACCCCAGGAACAGCGGCGGCACGGACGCCUUGGAGCCCCGCGGCCGGGCCGCGAUGUGCUUUUCUCCUGUGUUCGCUGCCCGGGAUGCGGAAUCUUGAGCCUCGGUGUCGGGUUACAGAGUUGUCCUGGUGACGGGAUGCGGAGCGUUUCCUCCUUUUUGUUGUGGGGGCGGCUGGUGGCAGGGGCAGCUGGUGGCAGGGUUGCCCACGCUAAUCUCCGAGUCUCUAAGGGCACCGUCUUUCCUGGAUCCCUCUUGCGCCUCGUCCAUAAAGGCAGACCCGCGGGCGCGCGCCGGCAACCUGAAAUCAGAGCAGGCGUCCGUGGCGCUCAGGAACCUUGCUGAGCUUCGCCGAUCUUUCAUUGUUGCUUCAUUUGGGUACCAAGGGCCUCUCAUUCUGUGGAUUCUUUGCCUGGAGGAGCCCCCUUAAUGUUGCUAAUCACGUGUGGUUAAAUUGCUCGUAAAUUCCGAACAAAACAAAUAGCGACCUGUGUUACACUGUUUCUUGGUAACUGGGAAAGUUACUGGUGGCUUGAAGUAUACGCAGAAAAUACAAAGAUUAAAAACUAGGGAAGAGUUCACUGAAUGAACACCGUAACAUUUCUGCUCUGCAGGGUAAAAUAAUUUCGGGACCCAGGUCUGGGAAAGAUUUGUAUUAACAAGGUAAACGGUGGGUAGAGUGCCUGAGAAGCUAUUCGUAUCGUCUUUGGUAGCCUCUGGGCACUAGGACUAGACAUGGAAUUAGGGGUCCCCCAACAAUGACUUCAAUUUUAGGUUAAUAGAAACCAUCUGCCACUUAAGGGAAAGAAAGCACCAAAAUGUAGAUAAGUUGAUGUUCACCCUUAAAGUUAUCGUGUGAGGUCAUGAUUUGUAGGAGGAUUAAGGAAUGUAUCUCUGGAAAGGGCAAGAACGUUGCUUUUAAAAGUCUAAUUGGUUCUGAAGUUUUAUAUUUUUUCUGCUGAUUGCUUUAAAAUGUUCAGCUACUAGAGAGAAAAAAAGUACAGUAAAAGAAACCCCCAAGUCAGAGACCUAUCAGACUGAGAAUAUGUAUUUUCUCAUGUUCUAAAGAUACAGAAUACCUGUGUGGUGUAAAAUGUGAACCAAAAAUUGUUUCAUUUUUGUAAGUGUGCCUCCCACCUGAUUUAAUUACACUUAAUUGUUCUUGUUUAUGACUCUGCCUUUUAUGGUGAUGUUGAUCAUUUUAGUCCUUCGAUCAUAGCACUGUAUCAUCUUAAAAGUUAAUAAUAGAUUACUUGUAACACAGGCUCACUAUGUGAGAAUUCAUCAAGCUGUAUGUACAUUUAU
rnacentral:lncRNA from 1 species